rnacentral:ncRNA from 1 species
UGUCUCCUCCAACUCUCCUUGAAUUGGAUUUAAGCCCGCUCCUUGAGCGGGCUUUUUUUU